rnacentral:rRNA from 1 species
AGAGUUUGAUCCUGGCUCAGAACGUACGCUGGCGGCACGCCUAACACAUGCAAGUCGAACGAAGUAGCAAUACUUAGUGGCAGACGGGUGAGUAACAUGUAGGUAUCUGCCCUUUGGCCUGGAAUAACACGAGGAAACUUGUGCUAAUACUGGAUAAGUCUUUACGGAGAAAGCUUUAUGCACCAUUGGAUGAGCCUGCACUUGAUUAGUUUGUUGGUAGGGUAAUGGCCUACCAAGACUGUGAUCAAUAGCUGAUUUGAGAGGAUGAUCAGCCACAUUGGGACUGAGACACGGCCCAAACUCCUACGGGAGGAAGCAGUGGGGAAUCUUGCACAAUGGAGGAAACUCUGAUGCAGCGAUGCCGCGUGAGUGAAGAAGGCCCUUGGGUUGUAAAGCUCUUUCGUCGGGGAAGAAAAUGACUGUACCCGAAUAAGAAGGUCCGGCUAACUUCGUGCCAGCAGCCGCGGUAAUACGAAGGGACCUAGCGUAGUUCGGAAUUACUGGGCUUAAAGAGUUCGUAGGUUGUUAAAAAAGUUGGUGGUGAAAUCCCAGAGCUUAACUCUGGAACUGCCAUCAAAACUUUUUAGCUAGAGUAUGAUAGAGGAAAGCAGAAUUUCUAGUGUAGAGGUGAAAUUCGUAGAUAUUAGAAAGAAUACCAAUUGCGAAGGCAGCUUUCUGGAUCAUUACUGACACUGAGGAACGAAAGCAUGGGUAGCGAAGAGGAUUAGAUGCCCUCGUAGUCCAUGCCGUAAACGAUGUGUGUUAGACGUUGGAAAUUUAUUUUCAGUGUCGCAGCGAAAGCGAUAAACACACCGCCUGGGGAGUACGACCGCAAGGUUAAAACUCGAAUGAAUUGACGGGGACCCGCACAAGUAGUGGAGCAUGUGGUUUAAUUCGAAGAUACGCGCAGAACCUUACCAACACUUGACAUGUUCGUCGCGACUCUAAGAGAUUAGAGUUUUCGGUUCGGCCGGACGAAACACAGGUGCUGCAUGGCUGUCGUCAGCUCGUGUCGUGAGAUGUUGGGUUAAGUCCCGCAACGAGCGCAACCCUCACUUUUAGUUGCCAUCAUUAAGUUGGGCACUCUGAAAGAACUGCCAGUGAUAAGCUGGAGGAAGGUGGGGAUGACGUCAAGUCCUCAUGGCCCUUACGUGUUGGGCUACACACGUGCUACAAUGCUAUCUACAACAGGAAGCAAAACGGCGACGUUAAGCAAAUCCUUAAAAGAUACCUCAGUUCGGAUUGCACUCUGCAACUCGAGUGCAUGAAGCUGGAAUUACUAGUAAUCGUGGAUCAGCGUGCCACGGUGAAUGCGUUCCCGGGUCUUGUACACACCGCCCGUCACACCAUGGGAGUUGGUUCUACCUUAAGGCAAGGUUUUAAACCCUUGACCACGGUAUAGUCAGCGACUGGGGUGAAGUCGUAACAAGGUAACC